UACGUAGGGCGCAAGCGUUGUCCGGAAUUAUUGGGCGUAAAGAGCUCGUAGGCGGUCUGUCACGUCUGCUGUGAAAACCCGGGGCUUAACCCCGGGCUUGCAGUGGAUACGGGCAGACUAGAGGCAGGUAGGGGAGAAUGGAAUUCCCGGUGUAGCGGUGAAAUGCGCAGAUAUCGGGAGGAACACCGGUGGCGAAGGCGGUUCUCUGGGCCUGACCUGACGCUGAGGAGCGAAAGCGUGGGGAGCGAAC
rnacentral:rRNA from 1 species